UAGAGUUUGAUCCUGGCUCAGGAUGAACGCUAGCUACAGGCUUAACACAUGCAAGUCGAGGGGAAACGGCAUUGAGUGCUUGCACUCUUUGGACGUCGACCGGCGCACGGGUGAGUAACGCGUAUCCAACCUUCCCAUUACUGUGGGAUAACCUGCCGAAAGGCCGACUAAUACCGCAUAGUCUUCGAUGACGGCAUCAGAUUUGAAGUAAAGAUUUAUCGGUAAUGGAUGGGGAUGCGUCUGAUUAGCUUGUUGGCGGGGUAACGGCCCACCAAGGCGACGAUCAGUAGGGGUUCUGAGAGGAAGGUCCCCCACAUUGGAACUGAGACACGGUCCAAACUCCUACGGGAGGCAGCAGUGAGGAAUAUUGGUCAAUGGACGGAAGUCUGAACCAGCCAAGUAGCGUGCAGGAUGACGGCCCUAUGGGUUGUAAACUGCUUUUGUAUGGGGAUAAAGUCAAUCACGUGUGAUUGUUUGCAGGUACCAUACGAAUAAGGACCGGCUAAUUCCGUGCCAGCAGCCGCGGUAAUACGGAAGGUCCAGGCGUUAUCCGGAUUUAUUGGGUUUAAAGGGAGCGUAGGCUGGAUAUUAAGUGUGUUGUGAAAUGUAGACGCUCAACGUCUGACUUGCAGCGCAUACUGGUUUCCUUGAGUACGCACAACGUUGGCGGAAUUCGUCGUGUAGCGGUGAAAUGCUUAGAUAUGACGAAGAACUCCGAUUGCGAAGGCAGCUGACGGGAGCGCAACUGACGCUUAAGCUCGAAGGUGCGGGUAUCAAACAGGAUUAGAUACCCUGGUAGUCCGCACAG
rnacentral:rRNA from 1 species